rnacentral:rRNA from 1 species
UUCCGUUGGUGAACCUGCGGAGGGAUCAUUACCGAGUUUACAACUCCCAAACCCCUGUGAACAUACCUAUACGUUGCCUCGGCGGAUCAGCCCGCGCCCCGUAAAAAGGGACGGCCCGCCCGAGGACCCCUAAACUCUGUUUUUAGUGGAACUUCUGAGUAAAACAAACAAAUAAAUCAAAACUUUCAACAACGGAUCUCUUGGUUCUGGCAUCGAUGAAGAACGCAGCAAAAUGCGAUAAGUAAUGUGAAUUGCAGAAUUCAGUGAAUCAUCGAAUCUUUGAACGCACAUUGCGCCCGCCAGUAUUCUGGCGGGCAUGCCUGUUCGAGCGUCAUUUCAACCCUCAAGCUCAGCUUGGUGUUGGGACUCGCGGUAACCCGCGUUCCCCAAAUCGAUUGGCGGUCACGUCGAGCUUCCAUAGCGUAGUAAUCAUACACCUCGUUACUGGUAAUCGUCGCGGCCACGCCGUAAAACCCCAACUUCUGAAUGUGACCUCGAUCAGUAGAUCCCGUCGGCCCCAGCAU